AACGAACGCUGGCGGCGUGCUUAACACAUGCAAGUCUGACGGGAAAGUCGGCUUCGGCUGGCAAGUACCGUGGCGAACGGGUGAGUAACACGUGGGUAAUCUCCCCUCGAGCUCGGGAUAACCUUGCGAAAGCGAGGCUAAUACCGGAUAAGACCACGCCCUGUCCGCAGGGUGCGGUAAAAGGUGGCCUCUUCUUGAAAGCUAUCACUUGAGGAUGAGCCCGCGGCCUAUUAGCUAGUUGGUGGGGUAACGGCCUACCAAGGCGACGAUGGGGAGCCGGCCUGAGAGGGUGUACGGCCACACUGGCACUGGGAAACGGGCCAGACUCCUACGGGAGGCAGCAGUGAGGAAUUUUGCGCAAUGGGGGAAACCCUGACGUAGCAACGCCGCGUGAGUGAUGAAGGCCUUCGGGUUGUAAAGCUCUUUUAGUGGGGAAGAAGCCCACCGGGACGAAUAAUCCCGGUGUCUGACGGUACCCACAGAAAAAGUUCCGGCUAACUACGUGCCAGCCGCCGCUGUAAAAC
rnacentral:rRNA from 1 species